AGAAGUCCAGGGCUAGGAGCCUCAGCCGGCGGACGCCAGGAAACAGGCUCCCUCUGCAGUGGAAUUACCCUUAUGUCUUUUCUGUCUAUGCUGAUCCACCUGAUCUUGAACUGGUGCUAUUCCAUGGGGAAAAUUGGAACAUGGGGCAAUUAACACUUUCUCCACUUUAUCCCAUCAACAGGAAAUUGAAAUAUAACCAACUAACUCAGGAGACAUCAUGGAAGAUGUCACACAGUGAAUGAUGAUGAAGCAGAAUUUUUAAAAUGUGUAGGAUUACGAGAAGUGGGGUCAUUUUUCUUUGUGUAUGGUAUUGCUGAUGCAGUUUAAUGCUCCAUUACUUCUAAAUUUUCAUCAUAAGCUAGAUUUUCCAGUUGUGGUUUCUAUAAAGAAAAACAAACAUUCUGAAGACAGUUUUUCCAGAUUUAUUCCAGAUAUCGAUGAUUAACUUUUGAAGAAAUAUCUGAAUGAAAUGCUCAUGAAAGGAUUAAGAAAGUCUGCAGUUGAGCCUGGAGCCAGCAAAAGACAUCAUCACUAAAAGUAUAUGCAUGACCCGCAUUUGUUGCCUUUAUGGUCCUUACCCAAGAUAUUUGAAUUCACCAGAAUGGUCUUAAUAUGGUAUUGUCUAGGUUAAUAGCAGGUAAUUGUGACAAGUCCAGUGUGGGUUACUGGUCAUGAAGAAUCCAUUGUUGAUGACAUCCCAGAAGAGAACACUAAGUCUUAGCUUUCAUCUUACCCCUGAACUUCCCUUCCUCUGAAGCACUCAUUAGGUGAAUAAACAAUAUUCCCUAUACCUAUAGAGUGGAAUACCACCCAGCAUCCUCUCACAUACAAAGAAAGAACAAAUUGCUGAUAGACACAGAUGUCCAUCAAUCUCAAAAGUCGUCAUGAAACCUCUGGAAGAAUUGAGCUGGUCGACUAUGCAAACAGUUGUCAAGAGCCUAUAAAAUAUGCAGCAUAAAAUUUUUCCUUUGUAGUCAAACCUGAUUAUUCCUCUUAGAUACUGGGAACAGAAUUUCACAGUCGUCAGAG
ensembl:lncRNA LINC00879 long intergenic non-protein coding RNA 879